rnacentral:rRNA from 1 species
GAUAUAGUGGCAGACGGGUGAGUAACGCGUGGGAACGUACCUUUCACUACGGAAUAGCUCUUGGAAACGAGUGGUAAUACCGUAUACGCCCUCCGGGGGAAAGAUUUAUCGGUGAAAGAUCGGCCCGCGUUAGAUUAGCUAGUUGGUAGGGUAAUGGCCUACCAAGGCGACGAUCUAUAGCUGGUCUGAGAGGAUGAUCAGCCACACUGGGACUGAGACACGGCCCAGACUCCUACGGGAGGCAGCAGUGGGGAAUCUUGCACAAUGGGCGAAAGCCUGAUGCAGCCAUGCCGCGUGAAUGAUGAAGGCCUUAGGGUUGUAAAAUUCUUUCGCUAGGGAUGAUAAUGACAGUACCUAGUAAAGAAGCCCCGGCUAACUUCGUGCCAGCAGCCGCGGUAAUACGAAGGGGGCUAGCGUUGUUCGGAAUUACUGGGCGUAAAGCGCACGUAGGCGGACUUUUAAGUCAGGUGUGAAAUCCCAGGGCUCAACCCUGGAACUGCAUUUGAAACUGGAAGUCUAGAGACCAGGAGAGGUUAGCGGAAUACCGAGUGUAGAGGUGAAAUUCGUAGAUAUUCGGUGGAACACCAGUGGCGAAGGCGGCUAACUGGACUGGUACUGACGCUGAGGUGCGAAAGUGUGGGGAGCAAACAGGAUUAGAUACCCUGGUAGUCCACACCGUAAACGAUGAGAGCUAGUUGUUGGCAGGCAUGCCUGUCAGUGACGCAGCUAACGCAUUAAGCUCUCCGCCUGGGGAGUACGGCCGCAAGGUUAAAACUCAAAGAAAUUGACGGGGGCCCGCACAAGCGGUGGAGCAUGUGGUUUAAUUCGAAG